GCUCUUAAACCCAACCGAAGGGAACAAAACGUCUGGAUAGUCCUGCCGGAUGAGACAAAGUUCGGGGCUCCCGCGGCUCGGGGGAGUCCAAGGCAAAACGCCGCACCUGCUCGGCGCCGCCCCCGCUCCUGGACGCUGAAGGACAACGCGCCUCACCGCCCCGCUCUGGAAGGCGCACGGAGGGCGCAUGCGCGGCCCCGCCGCUCGGGCGGGCAAAUUCAAACCUGCCCUCGCGCCCCUCCGCUCCGCAGGGGUAGCGGCUGGGCUGACGUCAUUGCGCCGCGUCCUUCUCCGUGGUUUCCGGCGCUCGUGCGCGCGGUAAGUGGAACCGAAGGGGUGAAAGUUUUCGUUUGUGCGGUUCGCGGCACCGCUUCUCUCUUUUCUCCCUCAGGAGCGGGCGGGCGCUCUCCGCAUCCCUUCCUGCCGCCUCGGGGCCUGCGAGCUCCGGCUACAGGCUGUCGCAACGACGCCGGCGAUGGCAGCGGGGCGCCUGGAGGCGGCCGCAUCGCGGGUGGCUGUGCUGGAGGAAGAGCUGCGGUGCCUGGCGGAGGAGCUGAGCCGCUGCCAGCUCCAGAGCAAGCCUUGGGCCCCCGAGCUGCUGUCUGUGUUCUGCCUCUCCGUCCUCGAGAACUCGUGUAUUUGCACGGAGUAGUGUUGAGGAUACCAAGUACGAAGAUCUGCAAUAUCAGAUGA
rnacentral:lncRNA from 1 species